rnacentral:rRNA from 1 species
UACAGAGGGUGCGAGCGUUGUCCGGAAUCACUGGGCGUAAAGGGCGCGUAGGUGGCCCGACAAGUCACUGGUGAAAGCUCGAUGCUCAACAUCGAGUCGGCCAGUGAUACUGUGGGGCUGGAGCACUGUAGAGGCUCAUGGAAUUCCGGGUGUAGCGGUGGAAUGCGUAGAGAUCCGGAAGAACACCGGUGGCGAAGGCGGUGAGCUGGGCAGUAGCUGACACUGAGGCGCGACAGCGUGGGGAGCAAACAGG